AUUUGGGACAGUGUCCUCAACAAUUAGGUGGACGUGAAUGUGGCUAUUACGUCAUGCGUUAUAUGUUCGAAAUAAUGCAAUAUCAUCAUAAUAGUGAGGACCUUAUUACGGAUUUUUCAAGAUCUACACCGUACACAAAUGAGGAGAUAAACGAGGUUCGAGAUAUUUGGGCAGACUAUUUUGUAUGCAAUGUUGAACUUUAGAUCUACACUUACAAAACUCCAUUUACUUGUUAGACUCUUGUUCUAUUUGUUAGGAUUGACAUGAAUGUAUGUAUUUUGUUUACCAACAAUUUGGGUUGGUGUU